rnacentral:rRNA from 1 species
UACGUAGGUGGCAAGCGUUGUCCGGAUUUAUUGGGUUUAAAGGGUGCGUAGGCGGUCUUAUAAGUCAGUGGUGAAAUACGGCAGCUCAACUGUCGAGGUGCCAUUGAUACUGUAGGACUUGAGUACAGACGAGGUAGGCGGAAUGACGGUGUAGCGGUGAAAUGCUUAGAUAUCGUCAAGAACACCGAUAGCGAAGGCAGCUUACUAGGCUGUAACUGACGCUGAGGCACGAAAGUGUGGGGAUCAAACAGG